UGGACUGACUCUAACCUCGACUCUGUGCCCAGAUUACAGCUCCUUCCCUGCCGGCACCUUUUCACCCAGACUAGUGGUUCUCACACCUCAGGGCACACACCAGAACCCCUUCUGUAACUCGCCGAACCUGCACGCCUUGCGCCUCCGCACCGCUGGGGAACUUGAAGCCACAGGAACCCAUGAUGUUGAACUCCUGAUGUUGAAACUGCAGUUCGGGGCCACAAAUCACCAGUUUCCCCUUUUACACAUGUGACUAUAGUUGACCCUUGAACAGGACAGGUUUGACAUAUGUGGGUCCAAUUAGAGGCGGGGUUUUUUCAAUAAAUACAGUCCAGUACUACA
rnacentral:lncRNA from 1 species